UAAUCCAAAGCAGGCCAUUUCAGGA
rnacentral:piRNA from 1 species